GGGACCCUCCGGUCGUGCGGGGAGGUCCUCCCAUGAUGGUGUUGUCCCCCUCCCCUCUAACGUGUGUCCCCCCCGGCUCUACCUUCCCCCCCCAGCUCCUGAAGUGAUCAACUAUGAACCUCUGAGCUCCGCGACCGACAUGUGGAGCAUCGGGGUCAUCACCUACAUCCUGCUCAGCGGCUUGUCCCCCUUCCAGGGCGAGACGGACGCCGAGACCCUCUCCAACGUGGUGGCCGGCGCCUACGAGUUCGAGGAGCGCUGCUUCAGCCAGACCUCCGAGAUGGCCAAGGACUUCAUCCGGCAGCUGCUGGUGAAGGAGCCAGAGUGAGUCCCCGUCCCCUCCCCACCCCCAUCCUGUCUCAUCUCCAUCCCCAUCCCAAUCUCCAUCUUCAUCCACAUUCCCAUCCCAAUCCCCAACUCUCCAUACCAAUCCCUUUCUCCAUCCCCAUCUCCAUCAUCUCCACCAUCCCCACCAUCUCCACCAUCCCCAUCUUCAUCCCCAUCUCUGUCUCCAUCCACAUUCCUAGCCCAAUCCUCAACCCUGUCCCCAUCUCCAUCAUCCCCAUCUCCAUCAUCCCCAUCUCCAUCAUCCCCAUCUCCAUCUCCAUCUGCAUUCCCAUCCCAAUCCCCAACACUGACCCCACCCCUAUCUGCAUCUCAAUCCCAGUUCCAGUCACUGUCCCCAUCUCCAUCAAUCCCAUCAUCCCCAUCAUCUUCACUGUCCCUAUCUCCG
rnacentral:lncRNA from 1 species